rnacentral:rRNA from 1 species
UACAGAGGGAGCUAGCGUUAUUCGGAAUUACUGGGCGUAAAGCGCACGUAGGCGGCUUUGUAAGUUAGAGGUGAAAGCCUGGAGCUCAACUCCAGAACUGCCUUUAAGACUGCAUCGCUUGAAUCCAGGAGAGGUGAGUGGAAUUCCGAGUGUAGAGGUGAAAUUCGUAGAUAUUCGGAAGAACACCAGUGGCGAAGGCGGCUCACUGGACUGGUAUUGACGCUGAGGUGCGAAAGCGUGGGGAGCAAACAGG